CGAUGAAGAUGAAUGGGGGGUAGGAGGGAGAAGAAGGAGCCGGGCACUUGGUACAGACGAGGGAAGGUGGCCUGAGGAUGGGUCCGGUGGGCCCAGGCUGGCUGGCUGCCUGGCCACGCAGCACCGCCCUGCAGACCUGGGGUAGACAAACACCCCUGGAGAGACCCCUGGAAAUGGACCCCAGGCAACCCUGCCAGUCCACGGGGGAAGCUCAUCUCCACUGGUCACAGAGCUGGCCCAUCUCUCCUCUGUUGCGUGCCCUGCGGGCUGGUGUGGCAGGCCCCCAGCACUCAUGGGGGCAGGCUUAUGUGCCAGGAGAGACCUCGGGAAGUGUUCACCACAUGAUGCGUUGGCCCCUUGAGUCCUCAAAACAGAGACCCUGUGAGGAGACGGAGAAGACGGCCAUCUGCGUGCCCGGGAGAGGGGCCUCGGGGGACCCAGCCCUGCCCACUCCUUGAUCUUGGACUUUGAGCCUCCAGGAUGCUCUGAUUUCACGAGUGAUGCAUCGAGCCAUGCACACUAGACACCGAACAGAUCCAAGGACGAAGGAAGAAGCAGAGGUGACUCCUGCCACGUGGGAAAACGCCUUCGGACGCACGGGCGCCGCUUCACGGAGUCUGGUCUUGCAGGUGGCAUUGAAAGCCUGGCUCACCUCUCCCAACCUCAGCGCCUCUGCGGAGGUAAAACACUCACUGGAGUCGGCGUGACACCUCUCGGGGCUUCAAAGUCUGGAGGGACGCUCGCUGCAGGCCUGUGACCUCUGCACUAAUCCCCGGAUAGCGUCACGCUGCUCGUCUCCCGCUGAGCCGAGACUUCCUCCACGAAGACCUGGCAGCGUCUGGAUGGACGCACCAAGAGGCUGAGAAGAGCGAAGCCACAAGACACGAUGCUAAACAGCCACAGAGAAGAUUCCGACCAGGGGUGAAAAGGAAUUUCACAACAGCACAGGUUUCGAGAGGCUCUGGAGGAGCCCAAACUGGAGAAAAUCGACCGGUGGAGGGGGCACCGCCUGCUGGGGGGGUCUUAUAGUCCAGAAGCCCCCAUUUCAGACUUUGCCUCAGGGGCUGGUAAGUAAAUGCCUGAAGUUAUGCAAGAAAGCUUUGAACAUAUCCCAAGAGACACCAGCUGCCUUUCCGAGAGCAGGCUCUCCAAUGGACAUCUGGGCUCAACGUCCGCUACGUAAUCUUCAAAGUACAUGUUCGGUCCUUGGCUCCAGAGGCUUUGUGGCCUCGUCCAAAUCUCAGAUUCUGCACCGUCACAACUUCAAAAAAUAAUACAGCGUUCCCAGGGGACCCGCUCCGGGGAUGGAGCCGACACUUUGUAACCCAAAACCUGUGAGGAAACUUCAGUUCAGGCGCCAAAGAGAGGCACCACUGCUGGUUACGAAGAUGAGAAACACCUGCCUCCAGGUAGCGACUGUUGCACAAAAUCACUGAAAGAUGGGCUGCAGAACUCAACUCCCUCCAGGACUGGAGAGUCCGAGCACUGCGUGAGCCUGCGUGAGACACAUCAUCGCCUGCAUCCCAAACGGAGAACCUCCGUGUGGACGAGGGCUCGAGAGGAAAAACCUGUACCUGCAUGUUCAUGGCCGACGAGUUCUCCGAGAAGGCCCUUUGUGAGCUUCAGAGAAGCAAAGCCCCGUCCUCGGGAAGCACCGUCCAGGGUCCAGGCCUCCAAACAGCCAACAGUCCUCUCAGUCACAGAAUGCGCCCUGCUGACCGUCGGUGCAGGUCGGCGGACAGAGAACCCAGCGUGAGGACUUGGAGGGGCCGGGAGUCAGGGUGGGGCGAGGACAAGGACCUUGGAAUUAAGCGACACUGGAGGGAACCCAGCCACCUCCGCAUUCUCGCCCUCCCGCCCCACUCCCUUCCAGCUGGGCUGUCGAGGAGGGCGGCUGUAACAUCAGCUGAUGCCCUCACUCUUGGAAACUGAUGACUGAUCGACUGCUUUGGUAAAAGUACUUCCAGACUCAGAAGGGAGGGAGGCGGCCGGACUAACACACCAGGUGACAUCUCGGUGCCUGAAUAUGCCCCACAUUUAUGCAUCCUUUCAACCGGGGACUAGGAGCAUCGGGCUGUCACUUGGGGGUAACGGCGGCCACGCAGCCAUAGACGCCCCCAGGCGGCUUUUCUUACUGGACACACCCUUUCAUUCCUAGGAGGGCACUGCUGUGUAUUGUAACAAUCCUGGGUUUAACUGGCAAACCUGAUGCCAAUUUCUCAUCUUUUUUUUUUUUUUUUUUUUUGGUUGCACCCACAGCAUGUGGAAAUUCCUCGGCCAGAGAGCGAACCUGCACCACAGCUGUGGCCGCCCCAGAUGCUUAACCCAGUGCUCCCAGAGGGACUCCCUGCUGCUCAUUUUUCUUUUCUUUUCUUUUCUUUCUUUUUUUUUUUUUUUGUCUUUUUGCCUUUUCUAGGGCUGCUCUGUGGCAUAUGGAGGUUCCCAGGCUAGGGGUUCAAUUGGAGCUGUGGCCACCAGCCUACACCACAGCCACAGCAACACGUGAUCCAAGCCAAGUCUGCGACCUACACCACAGCUCAUGGCAACGCCGGAUCGUUAACCCAAUGAGCAAGGGCAGGGCUCGAACCUGCAACCUCAUGGUUCCUAGUCAGAUUCGUUAACCACUGAGCCACGAUGGGAACUCCCCUGCUGCUCAUUUCUUUAAGGAACUUUCCUAGCCAUGAAAAUAAUGGGUCCAAUCACGCAGGCAUCUUUAACGUGACGAUGCAUAUGGUCAAAUUACACUCCUAAAAACUGGGCCAACCUCUGGCCCCGCCGGCAGCGCAGGGGGACAUGCUGACAGUACACAUCUGGGCUCCAGAUGCUCAAGGAGGGCCCACAGUCACGGGACCUGUUUGGAGCGGCAGGGACUCCCGAGGCAGCCACUCCUCUCCUGGACGAGCUCUGUGGAAGGAUCCAGAGCUCCGGGCUCCCCGCCCAGGCUGCUGCUUGCUGACCAAGCCCCCUCGAGCUAGGGGUUCAUUUUUUCUUUGGCAAAAGAUAACCCUCUUCUGCCCGCCCCCCUCAGCGGAUCGGCAGAGGAAUGCUUUUGUCAUGUAGACACGCCAGACACCAAUGACUGGCCACGGAAUCACUUUUGAGAAGCACUGCUCACCUGGGUUGUCCCCAAGCCUCAGGACUUGGGGGGGGGAUGUGGGCUUGGGGUCCCUGGUUGGUUGGCUUGCGAGAUAUCGGCUUCAGCAGAACGUGAGCA
rnacentral:lncRNA from 1 species